GCGUUCCGUCCCACGUUUGGUGCGCUAAAAUUAUGUGGAACCCCUGUUCCACGGAACGAAAAUGUGUUAGAUUUUGGUUCCACCUCCCACACCUGGAACGGGUUUUUCCAUCCCGUGGAACACAAAUUCAUAACAUUUUAAGACAAAAAUACCCCUUCUCUUUUUCAAUAUUUACAUCAUCCAAAAAACAAACCCUAAAAUUCUAUCUUCUUCGUUCCAUCUUCUCUGCCUGCCGCUGCCUUUUCCCGUAGCCCUCCUCCUCAUCCUCUCCCGUAGCAGCUGCAUAUCCAGGUUCGAUCUUGAUCUUCUCCCGUAGCCGCUGCAUCUCCAUGUUCAAUCUCAAUCUUCUCCCGUAGCUCCAGGUUUGAUCUUGAUCUUCUCCCGUAGCCGCUGCAUCUCGAGGUUUAAUCUCGGUCUUCUCCCGUAGCCGCUGCAUCUCCAGGUCUCCAUGUAUGUUGUUGCAGCAUAUUAGAUUAUCUUCAAGAUCCAGUCUUGUCCCAAAUAGCCUUUUAUUAGAUGAAUACUCAAGAAACAUAAAGUUAUUGCUUCAGGCCAUGGGUCUGUUGACUGAUAUGUACACAUCAGUAUGGCUCUACAGACACAUCAGCAUGAAGGUUACACAUUAGCAAGGCACACAUCACCAAGGCACACAUCAGCGAGGCAGUUAGCUUGUUGAGAUUGUAGGAAGGCUGUUAGUCUGUUGGGAUUUGUAGGGAUAAGAAAGUUGGUUAGUAGCUUAUGAGUGAAGCAAAGAAUACUUGUAUAAAUAACGAACACCUCUCUCUGGAAUUCCUUCAUUGUUCAAGGAAUACAAUCUUUAGUCAUUCACUUUCUCUCUCUAAAUUCUUUGCCA